CCUGUGUGCUGAUGUGGAACGCUUUUCAUCACUUUCUACAUUAAAUUUUCCUCUAGCACACCCCUGUAAUUCCAGCACUCUGGAAGGCUGAGGCAGGAGAAGCACAAGUUUGAGCCCAGCAUGGGCAACUUAGCCAGACUCUGCCUCAAAAAGGAGUGCUUUAGGAAAAUGUAGCUCAAUGAAAGGCUUUGGGUCCAGUUCCCAUUAUCAAAGGGGUGAAAAAAAUGAAAAAGAAAGAAAAAAAGAGAGAGAGAAAGGAGAGGAGCAAAAAGGAGGAAACAAAAAUAAAAAGGGAGAGGUCUGUGCUUCUGAAUUUCACGUGAUCUGAGCACUUUCGAAACAGGCUCUUCUGUCCGAUGUCGCUAGGGUUUCUGAAUGUGCUGUGCCUGCCUGUUGGCACAGCUGGGUGGCAUUUCAGGAAAUUGGUGAUCCCGCUGAUCUACUGGGAAUCAAGAAGUGAACCGAGGGAGGAGGAGGAGGAGGAGGAGCUUGUGAGAGCUCCAGAGAACAAUGGAAAAGAAAAUGAAACUCUACUCAGAAGAAGAGAAGGGAAGAAACCUAGAGGGGAACACUGGGUCGAAUGGAGUUUCUGAUUGUUUCUGCAUGGUUGAUAGCGUGGACAGCGUUAAGGGUCCAGCCCGCAUGAUCUCCUCAGGCAGAAGUAAUGAAACCUUGGCCAGCUCUUUCGCCCUAAGUGACUCAAGCCAGACAAAACACAUCCAAUACCUGUUGUGCCGGCGACAUGGGCCUCUGACCCUUCAGAGAAAGAAACGGACAAAGUGAGCGCGCCUCUCUGGUUUCUGGCGAGAGCCAGUUUCUGUGCAUUAGGGGCCGCAGGUGAAGCCCCAACCACACGGCCUACUUCCGGCGACCAGGGGUCUACUUCCGGCGGCAGGCGGCCCACUUCCGGUGGCCCACGGAGAGGCUCCUUAGCGGUCUUGAAAUCGCUGGGCAGAUUACCAAAGAGAAAGGAGCCCUGACGAGGAGGAGCUGCAGAGCUCUGCUUAGGACUCCCCGGAGCCUGGCGGGAUUCAAAACUGCUAGGUAGGAGAGACUCCAAGAGGGUCAACUAGCAGGGCAGAG
rnacentral:lncRNA from 1 species